rnacentral:rRNA from 1 species
AUACGGAGGAUCCGAGCGUUAUCCGGAUUUAUUGGGUUUAAAGGGAGCGUAGGCGGCCUAUUAAGUCAGCUGUGAAAGUUUGCGGCUCAACCGUAAAAUUGCAGUUGAUACUGGUCGUCUUGAGUGCAGUAGAGGUAGGCGGAAUUCGUGGUGUAGCGGUGAAAUGCUUAGAUAUCACGAAGAACUCCGAUUGCGAAGGCAGCUUACUGGACUGUAACUGACGCUGAUGCUCGAAAGUGUGGGUAUCAAACAGGAUUAGAUACCCUGGUAGUCCACACAGUAAACGAUGAAUACUCGCUGUUUGCGAUAUACGGCAAGCGGCCAAGCGAAAGCAUUAAGUAUUCCACCUGGGGAGUACGCCGGCAACGGUGAAACUCAAAUGAAUGGGCGGGG